ACAAAGGCGAUUUCCCUACGACUCGAACUGGAAAGCAAACUCAAUCAAGCCACUUAAGAGGACUCCAUUACCAAUGGAGCCAACACUUUAUUGGUCUCUUUAUCAAGUUUAUAUAAGAUAAUGAAUGCGAAUGAUUUGACUAAUAUUCUAAUCGAAGCAUUCUCAUUUCUUUCAACACAUGUGAACCCCUUUUAUAUAUGGCCAUACCCAGUGAUCCUUUUCAUCAUCUCUUUUAUUUUUGAACAGCAAACCCCUGGCUAAUGGAAUUAAUCCAGCUGCUGAAUCCAAUUUAACAACUAUAUAUUAUCCCUUUCUCUUCAAAAAUCCACCACCAAAAAAAACUAUUGAGCAAUGAUCAACGUACAAUAAUUGACAUGUGCAACACAUGUACGUAUAAUAUUUCCAUUCUCUUGUUGGUUUCUAAUAACCCAAGACAAAGAAAGAUAAUUGAAUUCACAAAAAUCCAGCGAAGAAAACUUUUUUUUUUUUUUUCUCUCCUCCUUUCUCUUUGUGGCCAGAAGAAGGAUCAAGUAGGGCAAAAAGUUGAGGUGGGUGCUACUACUUGCCAGUAGUGGUGCCUGGAACUCUCUAGACAUUUGUAUUCGAAGUGACUUUUUCUUUCAUUUAUGUUGUUGUCGUGAAAGUAAAGGUAGUGAUAGAUUUUUUGCCAUCUCUUUUCUCCAGACUUUUCCUAUCUGCAUGGUCCAACUUAAUUUGCAUCUUCCGUAAGAAGAUGAUUCCUCUUUAGUGUAAUAUUUCGAACAUAAAAUAUAGCCGCCCCAGUUGCAAAUUAUGUGUGUUUAUUUAUAUAUGU
rnacentral:lncRNA from 1 species